rnacentral:rRNA from 1 species
CAGCAGUCGCCACGGUAAUACGUAGGGUGCAAGCGUUAAUCGGAAUUACUGGGCGUAAAGCGUGCGCAGGCGGUUAUAUAAGACAGAUGUGAAAUCCCCGGGCUCAACCUGGGAACUGCAUUUGUGACUGUAUAGCUAGAGUACGGCAGAGGGGGAUGGAAUCCCGCGUGUAGCAGUGAAAUGCGUAGAUAUGCGGAGGAACACCGAUGGCGAAGGCAAUCCCCUUGGCCUGUACUGACGCUCAUGCACGAAAGCGUGGGGAGCAAACAGGAUUAGAUACCCGCGUAGUCCCUGUCUCUUAUAC